UACGGAGGAUGCGAGCGUUAUCCGGAUUCAUUGGGUUUAAAGGGUGCGCAGGCGGAGCGCCAAGUCGGCGGUAAAAUCGCGGGGCUCAACCCCGCCCGGCCGUCGAAACUGGCGCCCUUGAGUUGUCGAGAGGUAGGCGGAAUGCGCGGUGUAGCGGUGAAAUGCAUAGAUAUCGCGCAGAACCCCGAUUGCGAAGGCAGCCUACCGGCGGCAAACUGACGCUCAGGCACGAAAGCGCGGGUAUCGAACAGG
rnacentral:rRNA from 1 species